rnacentral:misc_RNA from 2 species
ACACCUCAACUCUCAUGGUCCGCCAUGACGAGCUUGGACUUUGGGGGUCUUGCCGGCCUAGCGUCGGCUCCUCUCAAAUGGAUCAGCUUCCCAGUGUUUGGCGGCGUCACAGGUGUGAUAACUAUCUACGCUUGUGGUUCUCUGCCAUUAACCUUCAGCGAUGGAGGUUCGCUGGAGCUCACAGAUGUCUCUCCUUGAGGAGGACAGCUUUUUGAAC